rnacentral:rRNA from 1 species
GACGAACGCUGGCGGCGUGCCUAAUACAUGCAAGUAGGACGCAGUUGCGAACGGGUGAGUAACGAGUAGGUAAAUACCUAUGAGAGGGGGAUAACUAUUGGAAACGAUAGCUAAUAACGCAUACUAGUAGAUGGACCUGCGUUGUAUUAGAUAGUAGGUAGGGUAAUGGCCUUACUAGGCAACGAUACAUAGCCGAGCUGGGGGGGUGAUCGGCCAAACUUGGACUGGUGCACCGGCCCGACUCCCACGGGAAGGAGCAGUAGGGAAUCUUCGGCAAUGGGGGGAACCCUGACCGAGCAACGCCGCGUGAGUGAAGAAGGUUUUCGGAUCGUAAAGCUCUGUUGUUAAGGAAGCGGUACUUAACCAGAAAGGGCCGGCUAACUACGUGCCAGCAGCCGCGGUAAUUC